UGAGGAAUAUUGGUCAAUGGGCGGGAGCCUGAACCAGCCAAGCCGCGUGAGGGAGGAAGGCCCUAUGGGUCGUAAACCUCUUUUGUCAGGGAACAAAAGCGAGUAUGUAUACUAGUCUGAGUGUACCUGAAGAAAAAGCAUCGGCUAACUCCGUGCCAGCAGCCGCGGUAAUACGGAGGAUGCGAGCGUUAUCCGGAUUUAUUGGGUUUAAAGGGUGCGUAGGCGGCGGUGCAAGUCAGCGGUAAAAGCCCGGGGGCUCAACCCCGGCGAGCCGUUGAAACUGCAGUGCUAGAGAAGGCGAGAGGUACGCGGAAUGCGCAGUGUAGCGGUGAAAUGCUUAGAUAUUGCGCAGAACUCCGAUUGCGAAGGCAGCGUACUGGCGCCUGACUGACGCUGAGGCACGAAAGCGUGGGGAUCGAACAGGAUUAGAUACCC
rnacentral:rRNA from 1 species